GUGAAUCAUCAAAUCUUUGAACGCAAAUUGCACUCUCUUCGGAGAGUAUGCCUGUUUGAGGGUCAGCAUAAAAAAAAUCGACAUCGUUGUUGUUUCGCGGUGGCGUUCGUCGGAAAUUGGGUUAUCUUAAAUAUUUGGUUUAAGGGACUUAAAAUUUUCUUUACGAUUCCAUGAACGUUUCUAAGUUUUAUGUCUUAAACGUUUUUG
rnacentral:misc_RNA from 1 species